CCCUCUCUUCUUCUCCCUUUCUCUUCUCUUAGGUGUUCUAUACACCCCUUCCUUGGGACUCGCAUCCCAAGGAGUUCCACAUCUAGAGGAGUUUAGAUGCCUCUUCCUUGCUGGUUUCUAGCAUUUGGUAGUUGCACAUAGCAAGAAAAAACUCUAGAGAAUAAGAGAAAAAGAAGAUCAAGGACAAAGAUCAAGUAUUGAUCGUGAUCCAGACUUUGUUCAGAUUCAGCAGGCUGAAUUUUGGAGAAUCAAAAUUUAGAUUAUAGAGGGCUGUUUCAGGCUGAUCCCGAGUGGAUACUCAUAGAAACACAUAUGCAUGCACCA
rnacentral:lncRNA from 1 species